GUGUGAGUGGUGUACCGGUAACAUUGGGUCUUCCCAAGAAAGUUUCUCUUUGGCCUAGCACCGGGUUCGACUCCCGGCUCACGCA